rnacentral:rRNA from 1 species
AACGAACGCUGGCGGCGUGCUUAACACAUGCAAGUCGAACGCGAACGGGUUCUUCGGGACCUUAGUAGAGUGGCGCACGGGUGAGUAACGCGUAAGUUAUCUACCUCGGCAUCUGGAAUAACUCACCGAAAGGUGUGCUAAUACCGGAUACGUUGAGAAAUUAAGAAAGGUGGCCUCUCUUUGAUGCUACCGUGCUGAGAUGAUUUUGCGGACCAGUAGCUAGUUGGUGGGGUAAUGGCCUACCAAGGCGAAGAGGGUUAGCGGGUCUGAGAGGAUGAUCCGCCACACUGGAACUGGAACACGGACCAGACUCCUACGGGAGGCAGCAGUGAGGAAUAUUGCGCAAUGGGGGCAACCCUGACGCAGCGACGCCGCGUAGAUGAUGAAGGCCUUCGGGUCGUAAAAUCCUGUCAGGUGGAAAGAAAUGUAUAUGUGCUAAUACCAUGUAUACUUGACGGUACCACCGAAGGAAGCACCGGCUAACUCCGUGCCAGCCGCCGCCGUAACAC